CUUUGUUGUAGUAUUCUCCCCACUAUAUAUGGUAUUACUGAGACAUUAUUCUUGUGACGGGCAUAGUUCUACUCUGCUUACCUUGUAACAAUCUUCGGAGACAUGGAGGAGACAGAUUGUUUCAGAUGGGGAAACUGAGGCACAGAGCAGUGACUUGCAGCAGGUCACUCAGCAGGCCAGUGGCAGAGCCAGAAAUAAAGCCGGAGUUUCCUGUGUCCCAGUUCAGAUUUCUGCCUGAAAAAAGACUGAUGAACAGAGCCCGAAGUUGCAUCUCCUUCUGACCUUCAUUCUAGCAGGAUUACAGUACACACACAUACCUUAAUAAAUGAUGUGUUUUUGUAAAUUUUAAACGGGAAACCAGUCAGCUUUAAUUUCUUCACGACUGUUAUGGAUUUAUCUAAAUCAAGCACAACUCCUGUGGCAGCUAUCCGGAAAUCAGGCUGAAAUAUACAACAGUAUGGAUGACUGAUAGAUCAUUAAAUGUGUAUAACAACAAUCCUACUGCAGCAACUGAAGAACUCACUUGACAGGUACUAUUUCAUGACAUGUCAUAACCAGAGUUCACAGACUUUACAACUUUAGCUGUAGCACUGCAGCAUGGCAAACGAAAAUCAACUUCAUGAAAACUGGUUGAGUUACUGCCAAUGUCACAUCCCUAGCACCCAUUUAUGAGCUAUUCAGAAUGGCUAUUCAAAUGAAUUUUAAAGUCAUCUUUAAGAUUUUUUCCCCAUUUUCUACUGUACUCUGCACUCUGUUUCUUCAUGAAAAAGAAUUUUACACGCACACACAUGCAGAACGGCUUAGAGCCAAGGGACCUUGUUA